rnacentral:rRNA from 1 species
ACUCCUACGGGAGGCAGCAGUGAGGAAUAUUGGUCAAUGGACGCAAGUCUGAACCAGCCACGUCGCGUGAAGGAAGACGGCCCUACGGGUUGUAAACUUCUUUUAUACGGGAAUAAAGUGCCCCACGCGUGGGGUUUUGCAAGUACCGUACGAAUAAGGAUCGGCUAACUCCGUGCCAGCAGCCGCGGUAAU